rnacentral:rRNA from 1 species
GUACCCGCUGAACUUAAGCAUAUCAAUAAGCGGAGGAAAAGAAACCAACAGGGAUUGCCCUAGUAACGGCGAGUGAAGCGGCAACAGCUCAAAUUUGAAAUCUGGCUUCGGCCCGAGUUGUAAUUUGCAGAGGAUGCUUCGGGCGCGGCGCCUUCCAAGUCCCCUGGAACGGGGCGCCAGAGAGGGUGAGAGCCCCGUACUGUCGGAUGCUAAGCCUAUGUGAAGCUCCUUCGACGAGUCGAGUAGUUUGGGAAUGCUGCUCAAAAUGGGAGGUAGACCCCUUCUAAAGCUAAAUACCGGCCAGAGACCGAUAGCGCACAAGUAGAGUGAUCGAAAGAUGAAAAGCACUUUGAAAAGAGGGUUAAAUAGCACGUGAAAUUGUUGAAAGGGAAGCGCUUGUGACCAGACUUGCGCCGGGGCGAUCAUCUGGCGUUCUCGCCAGUGCACUCGCCCCGGCUCAGGCCAGCGUCGGUUCGCGCAGGGGGAUAAAGGCGCUGGGAAUGUGGCUCCUCCGGGAGUGUUAUAGCCCAGUGCGUCAUGCCCUUGUGCGGACCGAGGUUCGCGCUCUGCAAGGACGCUGGCGUAAUGGUUACUAGCGACCCGUCUUGAAACACGGACC